rnacentral:rRNA from 1 species
UACGUAGGUGGCAAGCGUUGUCCGGAUUUAUUGGGUUUAAAGGGUGCGUAGGCGGUCUUUUAAGUCAGUGCUGAAAUAUCCCGGCUUAACCGGGAGGGUGGCAUUGAUACUGUAGGGCUUGAGUCGAGUUGAGGUUGGCGGAAUUGACGGUGUAGCGGUGAAAUGCUUAGAUAUCGUCAAGAACACCGAUAGUGAAGACAGCUAACUAAGCUCAAACUGACGCUGAGGCACGAAAGUGUGGGGAUCAAACAGG